GUAAAGUACUUUCAGCAGUGAGGAAGGUGGGGUAUGGUUAAUAGCAUAUUCAUUUGACGUUAGCUGCAGAAGAAGCACCGGCUAACUCCGUGCCAGCAGCCGCGGUAAUACGGAGGGUGUGAGCGUUAAUCGGAAUUACUGGGCGUAAAGCGCAUGCAGGUGGUUUGUUAAGUCAGAUGUGAAAGACCCGGGGCGUCAACCUCGGAAUUGCAUUUGAAACUGGCAAACUAGAGUACUGUAGAGGGGGGUAGGAAUUUCAGGUGUAGCUGUGAAAUGCGUAGAGAUCUGAAGGAAUACCGGUGGCGAAGGCGGCCCCCUGGACAGAUACUGACACUCAGAUGCGAAAGCGUGGGGAGCAAACAGGAUUAGAUACCCUGGUAG
rnacentral:rRNA from 1 species